rnacentral:rRNA from 1 species
GACGAACGCUGGCGGCGUGCUUAACACAUGCAAGUCGAGCGGUAAGGCCCGUUUCGGGGGUACACGAGCGGCGAACGGGUGAGUAACACGUGGGUGACCUGCCCUCAGCUCUGGGAUAAGCCUGGGAAACCGGGUCUAAUACUGGAUAUGACUCCCCAUGACGCAUGUUGGUGGGGUGGAAAGCCUUGUGCGGCUGAGGAUGGGCCCGCGGCCUAUCAGCUUGUUGGUGGGGUGA